rnacentral:rRNA from 1 species
UGGGGAAUCUUGCACAAUGGGGGCAACCCUGAUGCAGCGACGCCGCGUGAGCGAUGAAGCCCUUCGGGGCGUAAAGCUCUUUCGACCGGAACGAUAAUGACGGUACCGGGAGAAGAAGCUGCGGCUAACUACGUGCCAGCAGCCGCGGUAAUACGUAGGCAGCAAGCGUUGUUCGGAGUUACUGGGCGUAAAGAGUGCGUAGGCGGUUUUCUAAGUUCGGUGUGAAAUCUCCCGGCUGAACUGGGAGGGUGCGCCGAAGACUGGGAAGCUGGAGUGUGGGAAAGGCAGGCGGAAUUCCUGGUGUAGCGGUGAAAUGCGUAGAUAUCAGGAGGAACACCGGCGGUGUAGACGGCUUGCUAGACCAUAACUGACGCUGAGGCACGAAAGCGUGGGUAGCAAACA